UACGUAGGGUGCGAGCGUUAAUCGGAAUUACUGGGCGUAAAGCGUGCGCAGGCGGUUUUGUAAGCCAGAUGUGAAAUCCCCGGGCUUAACCUGGGAAUGGCAUUUGGGACUGCAAGGCUCGAGUGCGGCAGAGGGGACUGGAAUUCCUGGUGUAGCAGUGAAAUGCGUAGAUAUCAGGAGGAACACCGAUGGCGAAGGCAGGUCUCUGGGCUGACACUGACGCUCAUGCACGAAAGCGUGGGGAGCAAACAGG
rnacentral:rRNA from 1 species